rnacentral:rRNA from 1 species
AAGUCGUAACAAGGUUUCCGUACGGUGAACCUGCGGAAGGAUCAUUACCGAAUUGCCAACAUGGGUUGUUGCUGGCCCUCAAAUGUGGGGGCAAGUGCACGCUCUGUUUGCACAUCCACUCACACCUGUGCACCCUCUGUAGCUCUAUGGCCUGGGGGACUCUGUUCUCCUGCGCUGUGGUUCUAUAUCUUUACACACACACACAUACACUGUAAUAAAGUCUCAUGGAAUGUAUGCCGCGUUCAACGCAAUACAAUACAACUUUCAGCAACGGAUCUCUUGGCUCUCGCAUCGAUGAAGAACGCAGCGAAAUGCGAUAAGUAAUGUGAAUUGCAGAAUUCAGUGAAUCAUCGAAUCUUUGAACGCACCUUGCGCCCUUUGGCUAUUCCGAAGGGCAUGCCUGUUUGAGUAUCAUGAACACCUCAACUCUCAUGGUUUGCCGUGAUGAGCUUGGACUUUGGGGGUCUUGCUGGCCUAUGGUCAGCUCCUCUCAAAUGAAUCAGCUUGCCAGUGUUUGGUGGCGUCACAAGUGUGAUAACUAUCUACGCUUGUGGUUUUCUGCCAGAUGACCUUCAGCAAUGGAGGUCCGCUGGAGCUUAUAAAUGUCUCUCCCCAGUGAGGACAGCUCUUUGAAUGUUUGAUCUCAAAUCAGGUAGGACUACCCGCUGAACUUAAGCAUAUCAAUAAGCGGAGGAAAAGAAACUAACAAGGAUUCCCCUAGUAACUGCGAGUGAAGCGGGAUGAGCUCAAAUUUAAAAUCUGGCGUGCCUCUGGUCGUCCGAGUUGUAGUCUGGAGAAGCGUUUUCCGUG